UACGGAGGGUGCAAACGUUGCUCGGAAUCACUGGGCGUAAAGCGCACGUAGGCGGUCAUUCAAGUUGAAUGUGAAAGCCCUCGGCUCAACCGAGGAAGUGCAUCCAAAACUGAUUGACUAGAGUACCGGAGGGGAUGGGGGAAUUCCCGGUGUAGAGGUGAAAUUCGUAGAUAUCGGGAGGAACACCAGUGGCGAAGGCGCCCAUCUGGCCGGUUACUGACGCUGAGGUGCGAAAGCGUGGGGAGCAAACAGG
rnacentral:rRNA from 1 species